rnacentral:rRNA from 1 species
AUUGAACGCUGGCGGCAUGCCUUACACAUGCAAGUCGAACGGCAGCAUGUCUUGUAGCAAUACAAGAUGAUGGCGAGUGGCGAACGGGUGAGUAAUAUAUCGGAACGUGCCAUAUAGUGGGGGAUAACCCGGCGAAAGCUGGACUAAUACCGCAUACGAUCUACGGAUGAAAGCUGGGGACCGCAAGGCCUGGCGCUAUAUGAUCGGCCGAUAUCAGAUUAGGUAGUUGGUGGGGUAAAGGCCUACCAAGCCUACGAUCUGUAGCUGGUCUGAGAGGACGAUCAGCCACACUGGGACUGAGACACGGCCCAGACUCCUACGGGAGGCAGCAGUGGGGAAUUUUGGACAAUGGGGGCAACCCUGAUCCAGCGAUGCCGCGUGAGUGAUGAAGGCCUUCGGGUUGUAAAACUCUUUCGGUGGGGAAGAAAUCUUUACGGUGAAUAGCCGUGGAGGAUGACGGUACCCGGAGAAGAAGCACCGGCUAACUACGUGCCAGCAGCCGCCGUAA